rnacentral:tRNA from 1 species
CAAAAUAUAGCUAAAAAGUGUAGCGUUUCAGUUACGUUGAAAAAAGUUAAUUGUGUAAGUCAAUUAUGUUUUGA